AACGAACGCUGGCGGCAUGCCUAACACAUGCGAGUCGAACGAGAUCUUCGGGUCUAGUGGCGCACGGGUGCGUAACGCGUGGGAAUCUGCCCUUUGGUUCGGAAUAACAGUUGGAAACGACUGCUAAUACCGGACGAUGACGAAAGUCCAAAGAUUUAUCGCCAGAGGAUGAGCCCGCGUAGGAUUAGCUAGUUGGUGUGGUAAAGGCGCACCAAGGCGACGAUCCUUAGCUGGUCUGAGAGGAUGAUCAGCCACACUGGGACUGAGACACGGCCCAGGCUCCUACGGGAGGCAGCAGUGGGGAAUAUUGGACAAUGGGCGAAAGCCUGAUCCAGCAAUGCCGCGUGAGUGAUGAAGGCCUUAGGGUUGUAAAGCUCUUUUACCCGGGAUGAUAAUGACAGUACCGGGAGAAUAAGCUCCGGCUAACUCCGUGCCAGCCGCCGCAGUAA
rnacentral:rRNA from 1 species